CGCCAUCUAUGAGUCAAUGGAAAAUCUUUCCAAUCAACUACUUGUACGCUAAUGGCGUAAUGUAUAAUUGGAAUUGAAUUAUUUCUGGAUUUACAAAGAAAAACAGCAAGACUUGCCGCAGCCAAAAGUAUAUCAACCGCUUUUAUAGCUUCGCAAAAGAAAGAAUCAUCAUCCUGGACAAUCAAGAACCAAUGGAUCAGAUUUUCUUUCACCAAAACAUUUUUGUAUGCAUUGAAAAAGUUCUUGAUCGAUAAAAAAAGAGGCUAUACGCGAAGCGUGUGACGUACAGUAUGAAGAAAAGAAUUGUGAAGCUGUGACAGAUGAAUGUCCAAAAAAUAAUCUUUUAUAGGACCAAAUCUUUCUGUAAUAAUUGGAGCAUUUAAACCCGCAAAAAUUGUCAGUAUUCCCAGAGGUUUGAAAAAACUUGUUUCCUCAAAAAUGAAGAGUCUACGGUACACAGAACUUAUAUAUUAUAUUAUAUAGAAAUCCUUGGAAUGCGCCACUUCUUAGUCUAUUAAAAGUCUUUACAAUCAAUUACUUACCAUACAUGGCAGUAGUGUAAUAUAAAUUUGAAUGGAAUUAUUUCAGGACUUAGAAAGGUAUCAUAAUCGGAUAUAUGUGUAAUCGUCUUUAAUAUGAAUGGGUUUUUGACAUAAUUGUACUUUGGACGGCUCAUGCUUCCUUAUCGAGUGCCUCUUUGUCAAGAGCUAACAAAGUUUCAUUUCAAUUUAAUCUCGAUAUCGUUCUUUGUUUUAUUUCAAUAAUCGAUUCGUUUACCCUUUCUCUUUCUCUCUUUCUCUCUCUAUAUAUAUAUAGUAUAUAAUACAUAACAGAAAUGAGUAACUAAGGGUUUACA